rnacentral:rRNA from 1 species
GAAGGGUGCAAGCGUUACUCGGAAUUACUGGGCGUAAAGCGUGCGUAGGUGGUUUGUUAAGUCUGAUGUGAAAGCCCUGGGCUCAACCUGGGAAUGGCAUUGGAUACUGGCGAGCUAGAGUGCGGUAGAGGGUAGUGGAAUUCCCGGUGUAGCAGUGAAAUGCGUAGAGAUCGGGAGGAACAUCUGUGGCGAAGGCGACUACCUGGACCAGCACUGACACUGAGGCACGAAAGCGUGGGGAGCAAACAGGAUUAGAUACCCUGGUAGUCCACGCCCUAAACGAUGCGAACUGGAUGUUGGGAGCAAUUAGGCUCUCAGUAUCGAAGCUAACGCGUUAAGUUCGCCGCCUGGGGAGUACGGUCGCAAGACUG